rnacentral:tRNA from 1 species
GCUAGUUUGCCCGAGUGAUUAAGGGGGAAUACUUAAGAUCUUCCGCACAUAAGUGCGCAUGGGUUCGAACCCCAUAGCUAGCA